AAUUUUAUGUCUGUAUUAUUUCCUGCUUCCAUUCCCUUUUCCAGCCAGAAUUUCUACCAUCCCUGGUAACUAGAAUGCCCAGCUUGGUUCUAUGCUGGGACAUCUGCUAUAUAAGGUUGCCACACAGCUUCUCCUCAAGUCCAAGUUGAAAUGAUCAGAGCACAGAGGAAAUCCAAACCCUUUCUCCUGGCUCCUGGGCCUCAUAUCUGCUCCAGAGUCUGUGAACAUGUCUUCUGGUGAAGAUUGGAAAAAGGAAAGAAAUGGCUGAAUUCUCCAAAUACUUUAAAGAUACAACCAAAAUGAUCUGAUAAUACAUUGAUACAUAACAGAAAUAAAGUGACUAACUU